GGUAGCUCACCAGAUGUUGGUCUUGCCAGGAAGAGAAGGUCAUGGACACUAGCAUGGCCUUCACAAUGAAGCUCAUGUGUGAAUAAAGAUCCAGCUUCUUAUAGGGUUACAAAGAAGGACAUCACGUCUUUGGUGCUUGGCCGAUGGCUUGAAAACUCUGCUCUCCUCCUAAGGACAUCAUCUGGUCUGCUUCAGAGUUGUUGGGAAAGAAGCCAUCGAGAUGACGAAGGAAAAGAAAAGAGGAUGUCUGAACAGCGCCAUUGCAAACCUGAGCUGCAGUGCAGUCAAGCUCCCGCCACUCAUGUGAAUCGAAAAGAACCUGGCUUAGUUUAGAUCUGGAGGGGCUGCAGCCACCCUUGACCUACCGUUUUCGGCUCCCAGCUGUUCAACAACAGCAGCAACAAGAUGACCUUUACAGCAAGCAGAAUGGGGCUGCUGACUGGAAUGGCGUUUGCAUGAAAGCUCCGUUUUAUUCUGCAGGUUCCUAGACUGAGAAUGUGCCUGGAAGUUCCCAGUUCCUUAUUCUAAACUCAUCUCUCUUGAGUCUGUCUCUGGCUGGCGAUUUGCUUCAUUCUAAUAAAAGCAGACAA